GUGAGGAAUAUUGGUCAAUGGGCGGAAGCCUGAACCAGCCAAGUAGCGUGCAGGAUGACGGCCCUAUGGGUUGUAAACUGCUUUUAUACGGGGAUAAAGUGCGCCACGUGUGGAGCAUUGCAGGUACCGUAUGAAUAAGGACCGGCUAAUUCCGUGCCAGCAGCCGCGGUAAUACGGAAGGUCCGGGCGUUAUCCGGAUUUAUUGGGUUUAAAGGGAGCGCAGGCCGGAAGCAAAGCGUGCCGUGAAAUGUAGAUGCUCAACAUCUGAAUUGCGGCGCGAACUGGUUUUCUUGAGUGCAUACGAGGUAGGCGGAAUUUGUGGUGUAGCGGUGAAAUGCUUAGAUAUCACGAAGAACUCCGAUUGCGAAGGCAGCCUACCAGGAUGUAACUGACGCUAAAGCUCGAAAGUGCGGGUAUCGAACAGGAUUAGAUACCCGGGUAGUCC
rnacentral:rRNA from 1 species